rnacentral:lncRNA from 1 species
GUGGCAACCCGUUUGGGUCCCCUUCCACACUGGAAGCUUUGUUCUUUUGCUCUUCACAAUAAAUCUUGCUGCUGCUCAUAGAAAGAUGCAAGCUAGUGCUAGCGAGACAGCCUGCAAAACCCCUGUGUUGUUUUGGGCUGUUAACCAUAGUCUGAGUGGCUUAGACAACAAACAUUUAUUUCUCACAGUUCUAGAGGCUAGAAGUCCAAGAGCAGAUGCCAGCAGACCUGUCUGGGGAAGGCCUGCUUCUUGGCCUGGAGACAGCCGCUUGCUCACUAUGUCUUCACAGGGCAGAGUGAACCCUGGUCUGUUUCUCUUACAAGGACACUCAUCCCACUGUGGGCCUCCACCUUUGUGAUUUCAUCUAUACCUAAAAGGCCCCACUUCCUAGUAUUCCGCCGGGGGUUCAGGCUUCAAAGAUGAAUACUGGGGGCGACACAAACGGAGCCCAUAACCUCAUGCCGCCUGACUCCUGAGGCUGUAUUCGUGAUGAACGUGUGGCUGCCCAAGUUUUGUUUUGCUCAGGCAGGAUCAGCACACACCCAGCCACAGACAGGGAAGCCCAGAGCAGGGCAGAAUAUGGUCCCUCAAGUGAAUAAUUGGCCCAGGGAUACAGAAUUAGGUGAUUCUAGCAAAUCCAGACAUUUUCUAGGGUGCCAGUGAAUUUUGGGUCUGUCCCUGUUAGCUGUUCUUGAGAUUUUGCACUCAACUUGCGAUGGUUAAUACGGAGUGUCAACUUGAUUGGAUUGAAGGAUGCAAAGUAUUGUUUCUGGGUGUGUCUGUGAGGGUGUUGCCAAAGGAGAUUAACAUUUGUGUCAGUGGGCUGGGAAAGGCAGACCCACCCUCAAUCUGGGUGGGCACCAUCUAAUCAGCUGCCAGCGUGGCCGGAAUAAAAGCAGGCAGGAGAAUGUGGAAAGACUAGACUAGUCUUGUGGCCUCCAUCUUUCUCCUGUGCUGGAUGCUUCCUGCCCUUGAACAUCGGACUCCAAGUUCUUCCGUUUUGGGACUUGGAUUAGCUUCCUUGCUCCUCAGCCUGCAGACGGCCUACUGUGGGACCCCUUCUUAUCUGAGGACCCCGUCUCUGCCUCAUUCCUCCUGUUUCCAUCAGAAGACACAGGUCUGGGACUCAGCGCAGCUGACCUGUCUGUCCCUCUCUGCACAGUUUACUCCUGGGCUCUGCAGAGAGAAGUCAGUGCCUCAAUUUUCCAUUGAAAUAUGCACCCUUGGCAUCCUGGCAGGUGAGCGGCGCCCCCUUAGGGCUAAUACAGUGACAUAAAAUGUGUCAUAUUUUUGGCUGUGUGGUGGCUCAUGCCUGUGAUCCCCACACUUUGGGUGGCUGAGGCAGGCUGACUGCCUGAACUCGG